rnacentral:rRNA from 1 species
GUCGUAACAAGGUUUCCGUAGGUGAACUGCGGAAGGAUCAUUACCGAAUCCGUAACACCUUAUCACACCGUGAACCUGGUCGUGCAUUUGGCACGCACGUCUCCUUUCGGGGUUGCCCGGCAUUAAACUGAAGAACCCGCGCACGCGCGCAAGCUGUUGCUGAGUUCUCUUCUCAGUGUUCCGCUGCGUUUGGUGCACGGUGCUUUGGGCCCCGGUUUUGGAGUCGUGUGCGCCGAUGUGCGGUUUUCUCUAACUUAAACCAAGCAAAUUUGCAGACCGAACUGUUGGGCUUUCUUUGCGAAAGCUUGUCUAAUGAUCAAAUCAUUGACAACUUUCAACGGUGGAUCUCUUGGCUCGUGGAUCGAUGAAGAACGCAGCAAAACGCGAUAUGUAGUGUGAAUUGCAGAAUUCAGUGAAUCAUCGAAUCUUUGAACGCAAAUGGCGCUCCUGGGUAUUCCCAGGAGCAUGUCUGUCUCAGUGUCGGUUUCACCUCGAACGCGCUUCGGCGCGGUUGCACUGAGGUGUCUGAGAGACUUGGCAGCGCGUUUGCGCGCGCCGUCUUGUUCCUCUCAGUCCCUUGAAAUGCAGUGGCCGAACGUUGUGCUGAAGCAUGGCUUCGGGUCGGUUCGCCCCGGAUCUGCUCGCACGGCUGAUCAGUUCUCACUGUCGUCGUGUCGCAGCGGCCUGGGUGCACUUGACAUCGUGCUGGCUGCAACUGUUCGAACAAAGCCAACUCUGGAAACCAUGCUUUGCUCGUGUCUUCCGAGCAAAACACCUUCGACCUGAGAUCAGUCAAG